rnacentral:misc_RNA from 1 species
CAAGGCGGGCUGGACACCCCCCGCUGGGCACUGCUUCACGGCGUGCGCGGCGGGGCCGGCCCUGCUGAAUUAUUCACCCGUGUCUUUUGCGUACUUCUUGUUUCCUGGGUGGGCUCGCCCGCCCUCAGGACCAACCACAAACCUUUUGCAAUAGCAAUCAGCGUCAGUAACAACGUAAUUAAUUACAACUUUCAACAACGGAUCUCUUGGUUCUGGCAUCGAUGAAGAACGCAGCGAAAUGCGAUACGUAGUGUGAAUUGCAGAAUUCAGUGAAUCAUCGAAUCUUUGAACGCACAUUGCGCCCUUUGGUAUUCCAAAGGGCAUGCCUGUUCGAGCGUCAUUUGUACCCUCAAGCUUUGCUUGGUGUUGGGCGUCUUUUGUCUCCAGUUCGCUGGAGACUCGCCUUAAAGUCAUUGGCAGCCGGCCUACUGGUUUCGGAGCGCAGCACAAGUCGCGCUCUUUGCCAGCCAAGGUCAGCGUCCAGCAAGCCUUUUUUUCAACCUUUGACCUCGGAUCAGGUAGGGAUACCCGCUGAACUUAAGCAUAUCAAUAAG